CUGUUACAACAAAUCAUUUCCUUUGAGCAGUUGUAAUUGACUAUAUGUACAGUUCGCUGUCACUGGAGACCAUUUACAUCAAGCAAGUAACAGAACCACAUUAGUUAUUCCAGGAGUAAGAGGGUUAGCUCUUCCCUUUGUGACCUUACAAAUACCUAGGAGGAUGUCGCCAUAGAAACCGGCAGAAUAACUGAUGAACAUGGGGGUCCAACGCUACCUGGAUGCAGUAGCCUUCUUUUGGGAGCUGAAAGGAGGACAACGAACACAGUGGUCUCAAGUUGGAAUGACCAUGGAGAUGAACGAUUUUCAAUUUCAUUUUCUGACCAGUCAAUUAGUAAAUCCACUUUCUUCAUACCUGUCCUACUAAAGCCAUCAUACCAAAAUUAUACUCAGUCUUUAAAGAAUAA